UACGAAGGGGGCUAGCGUUGCUCGGAAUCACUGGGCGUAAAGCGCACGUAGGCGGAUUGUUAAGUCAGGGGUGAAAUCCUGGAGCUCAACUCCAGAACUGCCUUUGAUACUGGCGAUCUCGAGUCCGGGAGAGGUGAGUGGAACUGCGAGUGUAGAGGUGAAAUUCGUAGAUAUUAGGAAGAACACCAGUGGCGAAGGCGGCUCACUGGCCCGAUACUGACGCUGAGGCACGAAAGCGUGGGGAGCAAACAGG
rnacentral:rRNA from 1 species